CAGCACCUCAAGUGGUCAGGAUGAUUAUUGGGCCUAAAGCAUCCGUAGCCGGCGCUGUAAGUUUUCGGUUAAAUCUGUACGCUCAACGUACAGGCUGCCGGGAAUACUGCAGCGCUAGGGAGUGGGAGAGGUAGACGGUACUCGGUAGGAAGGGGUAAAAUCCUUUGAUCUAUUGAUGACCGCCUGUGGCGAAGGCGGUCUACCAGAACACGUCCGACGGUGAGGGAUGAAAGCUGGGGGAGCAAACCGGAUUAGAUAACCGAGUAGUCC
rnacentral:rRNA from 1 species